rnacentral:rRNA from 1 species
UACAGAGGGGGCAAGCGUUAUUCGGAAUUAUUGGGCGUAAAGAGCGUGUAGGCGGCCAGGUAGGUCGGUUGUGAAAACUGGAGGCUCAACCUUCAGAGGUCGACCGAAACCAUCUGGCUAGAGUCCGGGAGAGGAGAGUGGAAUUCCUGGUGUAGCGGUGAAAUGCGCAGAUAUCAGGAAGAACACCCGUGGCGAAAGCGGCUCUCUGGAACGGUACUGACGCUGAGACGCGAAAGCGUGGGGGAGCGAACAGG